UCCCCGGUAGCUCAAUCGGCAGAGCGGGUGACUGUUAAUCACUAGGUUGGCGGUUCAUGUCCGUCCCGGGGAGCCA
rnacentral:tRNA from 1 species